AGUUCCAUCAGGUUCACGGCGCCGAUGACAUCAUACAUGUAAAGUUCCAUAAAGCCUUGUUACCAUGGCAACUCCGGAACUCAAAGCUAAACUUCAAAGCUUUGUGGGCUUUAACUCAAAGCUUUGUUUGGCCUCGGGGAGAUUAUAAGAGUAGGCAAAUCGCAAAUCACAAAUCGAAAAUCACAUAUCGCUUAACGGAAAAGGCACAUUUAGCUGAGCUUGACACAGAGCAAAUCGUACAAAGAUUUCAAACAGUAGACUUCACAGAGGAGACUUUACAGAGUAGAUUUCACAGAGUAGGUCGCACUUUUUAUCUGCGUAACACCUGUUGUCAGAUCUUUGUGGAGGAGAAGGUCCAUGAUGAGCUCUAAGACGCUGCAGCAGAUCCGGGAGCUGGAGGAGAAGAUGAUCAGUCUGGAGGAGCAGGACGAGCUGUGGUCUCGUAAAGAAGCUCAGGUCCUGGAGAAGCUCGACCUCCUGAAGAAGGAGCAGAAAACGAUCCUGGACCCUCUGAGACGAAAGCUGGAGCAGACAGAGAAG